rnacentral:lncRNA from 1 species
CUUCACUCUUGAGAGCUGAGAGUAGGUGGGAAGCAGCUCAUGGUAAGAGGGUUCAGAGGCCGCCUUUCCCUCUCUGCGCACUGCCCAGUUCUUCUAGUCCCAUGUCCUGGGACAGUACCAUACCUGUGUGUGUCCUGCCUGCGUUGCUGUGACCACUUUUAGUGGAAUCAGGUACAGUGCAGCUCUGCAGCUUCUGCAAAUUGCCACACUCCCACUCUCAAGCAGGUUGAGUGCUACGAGUGAUUUUUAGACCAUUUGUUUAUUCCCUUAUCAUGGCUUUUUGUGACUUCUUCCUCCCCAGUCCCUUGGGUCACCUUUAAAGGUAAAGUAAUCCUGAGGUGGUUGAAUUUACGGAAAUGCUAUGCAUUGUUGUGAAUGGAAUGUUCACCGGGCCAACAUCUUUUUGGAACUUUGAGCAGACUGAUAGUCUGGUUGCACAUUUGAUUUGUCUGGCAGUAAAUGUUGGACAGUAUUUGGACUGAUGGAAGCUAGAGACAAACACAUUGACUAUUGUUGAAUAACACUGGAAACAUCUUAGGAGAGCAGUACAUUAGCUAAUUUAAUAGGUACAUAAACUGAAUCCCACUGUCUUGUGCUUGAUGGACCAGCAGACACAUAUGCUUGUAUCGUUCUCAUGUUUCUACAUGUUUACCCUAUUCCCACAGGUCAACAAAGACAAGGCACCUAGCCUCACAUGAAACUUUAUUCCUUUCCCUUUUGAGAUGUGACAUGAAAGAAAAUAACAGAAAUGAUUUUUCCGUCCCAUCCUCAGGGACCAGUGGGAAUGAAUUUUACCAUCCCACCCUCAAGGGCCAGAUUGGAAGUGAUAUUGGUGGAAGACAACAUUUUGCCGCUUGGAAUUCUCACCUCCACACCAAAGAAGUACUGUUUUUGUCAUUUGCACCAGCUUCUUUCUCCAGGAAAGAUCAAAACGAUGCACUGCAAGGGCAUGCCAUAUACCCCUCAGGACCUGAAGCAAGAGAAUGAAUUAAAGAAAACUCCAGAGAAUGAGCUGACAACCUACUCCCUGGUCACUGGCUCUCCAUGCCUACCUGUGGUCUCUUGGACACCCUUGCAGAAGAUGACUUCCUGGGAACUCUUCUGGGAGUGAAUGUUAUCAGCAAAUUCCCAAAACAACACCCCUUAGACAAAAAGCCUCCUCACCUAUGCAUUGCCUAGACCACCCACUAAAGGUGAUGGCCACAAAGAGGUGGAUUUGUUGAGUUGGUGCCAUUCCUUCUACUGCCAGCUUCACCAAAACAAUGACACAGUCUUCCUUCUGCAUGGAGACUCUUCUCUUUCCUGUGUUGCAGUGGAUGCCUCCUGCAGAUAAGAAAUGCUUAACUGAGAAAUGCUCAUGUUGGGAUAUCAUCGAUGAGACUUUAAUUUGGGCAUGGUGACUGUUUCCCUUGCUGCCACUUGACUCAAUCCCAGGAGCCUCAGUAGAGGAUAUAAUAUUACACAAGAUGCUCAAAAUGGUGGAAUUGCUCAGUGCUCCCAUAAAUAUACAUUUAUAAUUUUCAUUUGCCACAUGGUAAACUGAAAAAUACAGACUAUAUUAAAAAGAAACUGCAUGAUUUUUUUUCAAAAAUUCAAAGCAUAUUUAAAUAAUAUAUAAAUUAAAUGCCCUCCUCUCUUCCAAUUCUGUCCCUAUACUUUUCCUCUAUUAAGUGAACUACAUGCAUUCUUUUAGUGGAUAGAUGCACACAAACACACAAGCCAUUAUGGGGAAGGAUCCACGUGUGUGGCCAUAUUGUAACACAUUUUUCUGCAAAUUACCUCUUUCAUUUAACAGCCCUUAUUCAAUGGCCUUUUUCUUUUUCAGUAGUACAUACACAUCUGUGUCAUUUGUUGAAUGACGACAUGAAUGUUUUGUAGAUAAAAUAUAAUUAAAUGUUUUAAGCAUUUCUCACUCAUAGAUAUUUAUGUUAGCACCAAAUUUCUGUGCAAUGAACCUCCCUAUAUAUCAGUAAUUUUGCAUUUGUCUAUAAUAUCAUAAUAAAUUACUUAUCAGUUGAAUUACUGGGAUUAAGUAUGUGCACACUUUAUAUUUAUAUUUUGAAAAUUAUUGCAAGAUUGCCUUCAAAAAUGUGGUUAACAACUUUAUCUUCAAAUGGCAAUGAAUGAGAUUGCCAGCUUUCCUACAACCUCACAGACAAUGGAUUUUAUAAAUAUUUAACAUUUUUGCCAAUGUGAUCACCCAAACUAUUGUCUUAAAUUGUAUUUCUUUUGUUUUUGAGUUUGGUCAUUUUUUCAUGUUUAUUAGCCAUCUGUAUUUUUUAAUUUCUUCUUUAUGUCCAAUUUUGUGGGUGGGAGGAGGAUUUAGUCUCUUCCUGAUUUCGAAGAGCUCAUUUACUAUUUCGGGAAAUAAGAUUUGGAUUGUCAACCAUUAUAGCUAUUUUUUACACACUUUUCAACUUUGUUUUUGUUAUAAGAAUGUGUAUGAUUGUUACAUGUCCAAGUAUAACCAUGUUCGCUUUUAUGGCUUCUGAGUUUCAUGUCAUUUUUGGAAAGAUAUAUAUAUUGAGUCCAUAAA